GUCGGGGUGGCGGAACUGGUAGACGCGCUGGAUUCAGGAUCCAGUGAGCGCAAGCUCAUGGGGGUUCAAUUCCCACCCUCGACACCA
rnacentral:tRNA from 1 species